rnacentral:rRNA from 1 species
GGGGGAAUAUUGCGCAAUGGGGGAAACCCUGACGCAGCAACGCCGCGUGAUUGAAGAAGGUCUUCGGAUUGUAAAAAUCUUUUAUCAAGGACGAAGAAGUGACGGUACUUGAUGAAUAAGCUCCGGCUAACUACGUGCCAGCAGCCGCGGUAAUACGUAGGGAGCAAGCGUUAUCCGGAUUUACUGGGUGUAAAGGGCGAGUAGGCGGGUCGGCAAGUUGGGAGUGAAAUGUCGGGGCUUAACCCCGGAACUGCUUCCAAAACUGUUGAUCUUGAGUGAUGGAGAGGCAGGCGGAAUUCCCAGUGUAGCGGUGAAAUGCGUAGAUAUUGGGAGGAACACCAGUGGCGAAGGCGGCCUGCUGGACAUUAACUGACGCUGAGGAGCGAAAGCGUGGGGAGCAAACAGGAUUAGAUACC